UACAGAGGGUGCGAGCGUUGUCCGGAAUCACUGGGCGUAAAGGGCGCGUAGGCGGGAUGGCAAGUCAGUCGUGAAAUCUCUCGGCUCAACCGAGAAACGUCGGCUGAUACUGCCGUUCUUGAGGGAUGCAGAGGAGACUGGAAUUCCCGGUGUAGCGGUGAAAUGUGUAGAGAUCGGGAGGAACACCGGUGGCGAAGGCGGGUCUCUGGGCAUCUCCUGACGCUGAGGCGCGAAAGCGUGGGGAGCAAACGGG
rnacentral:rRNA from 1 species